AUUGAACGCUGGCGGCAGGCCUAACACAUGCAAGUCGAGCGAGCGGCAGACGGGUGAGUAAUAUAUAGUUAAUCUGCCCUACACAGAGGAACAACAGUAGGAAUCGACUGCUAAUACCUCAUAGUGUAGGAUGAGACUAUAUCGUAUCAGCUAGUUGGUAAGGUAAUGGCUUACCAAGGCUAUGCAGCGUAACAGGUCUGAGGGGAUGCUCAGUCGCAUUGGAACUGAGACAGCGUUCAGACUCCUUCGGGAGGCAGCAGUAAGGAAUAGUGCUCAAUGGGGGAAACUCUUACACGGCAUCGCGGCGUAGAGUAUGACACUUAUCGGAGCGUAAACUCCUUUUAUCAGGAAAGCGGUACCUGAAGAAUAAGCACCGGCUAACUCCGUGCCAGCCGCCGCGGUAAUAC
rnacentral:rRNA from 1 species